AACGUAGGUCACAAGCGUUGUCCGGAAUUACUGGGUGUAAAGGGAGCGCAGGCGGGAAGACAAGUUGGAAGUGAAAUCUAUGGGCUCAACCCAUAAACUGCUUUCAAAACUGUUUUUCUUGAGUAGUGCAGAGGUAGGCGGAAUUCCCGGUGUAGCGGUGGAAUGUGUAGAUAUCGGGAGGAACACCAGUGGCGAAGGCGGCCUACUGGGCACCAACUGACGCUGAGGCUCGAAAGUGUGGGUAGCAAACAGG
rnacentral:rRNA from 1 species